GCCUCCGUGGCGCAAUCGGCUAGCGCGUUCGGCUGUUAACCGAAAGGUUGGUGGUUCGAUCCCACUCGGGGGCG
rnacentral:tRNA from 1 species